GAUGAACGCUGGCGGCGUGCUUAACACAUGCAAGUCGAGCGAAGCACUUUGGAAAGCUUCUUCGGAUGAUUUCCUUUGUGACUGAGCGGCGGACGGGUGAGUAACGCGUGGGUAACCUGCCUCAUACAGGGGGAUAACAGUUAGAAAUGACUGCUAAUACCGCAUAAGACCACGGUACCGCAUGGUACAGUGGUAAAAACUCCGGUGGUAUGAGAUGGACCCGCGUCUGAUUAGGUAGUUGGUGGGGUAACGGCCUACCAAGCCGACGAUCAGUAGCCGACCUGAGAGGGUGGCCGGCCACAGUGGGACUGAGACACGGCCCAGACUCCUACGGGAGGCAGCAGUGGGGAAUAUUGCACAAUGGAGGAAACUCUGAUGCAGCGACGCCGCGUGAAGGAUGAAGUAUUUCGGUAUGUAAACUUCUAUCAGCAGGGAAGAAAAUGACGGUACCUGACUAAGAAGCCCCGGCUAACUACGUG
rnacentral:rRNA from 1 species